AAACUCGCUCUCUCUCCCCGGUAUCUCACCACUGCGUCAGUGAAGUUAGGCAUCAGCAAAUUAAUGAGAGGACAGAGGAGGCCCCUGCUCUUGGGCACCCGCAGGAACUUACUCCAGCUCCAGACACACCGUAAACACUUUCAUCUAACGGAAGAUAAGCUGUGAAAUCGGAUUUCUGAACCACAAGACACUUGUGUAAAAACUGCAUUCCAUGCCAGGCCUGAAAUGUUCCAAAGCUCAGUUCGCCCUUUAAGAACAUGAAAAUCAUUCUGAACUCAUAGGUUGUAUCAAGACAGACCAUACACAGGAUUUGAUCCAUGGGCCAUAAAUAAUAAAUAUAAAUAAAGGCAGAUGGUAUAUGGACACUUACAUAACAAGGUUCAUAUGGGUGUCCAUAAUUGCUCAGACCUCAUUACCCCUUUUCCUCUACAACUGAAGGGCUUUUUCCUAUAUCUUGUCUAUAAAAUUAAAAAGUUGAAAAUGCAUAGGAGGUAUUUAAUGCUAGAGAUGGGCUGGGUCCCCACAGACUUACAGAGUUAUAGAAUUUAAUAGAAUUAUAGAAUUCUACAGUUAGAAGAAAUUUUUGCAAUUAUCUAAUUUGAACCCUGUAUUUUUUAAUAAAUAAUAUAACUAAAAACUCAUAAUAAAUGAUGAACUG